rnacentral:rRNA from 1 species
AUUGAACGCUGGCGGCAGGCUUAACACAUGCAAGUCGAGCGAGCGGCGGACGGGUGAGUAAUGUCUGGGAAACUGCCUGAUGGAGGGGGAUAACUCCUGGAACCGGUAGCUAAUACCGCAUACCAUCAGAGUUGCCCAGAUGGGCUAAGCUAGUAGGUGGGGUAAUGGCUCACCUAGGCGACGAUCCCUAGCUGGUCUGGGGGGAUGACCGGCCACACUGGAACUGGGACACGGUCCAGACUCCUACGGGAGGCAGCAGUGGGGAAUAUUGCACAAUGGGCGAAGGCCGGAUGCAGCCAUGCCGCGUGUGUGAAGAAGGCCUUCGGGUUGGAAAGCACUUUCAGCGAGGAGGCGUUACUCGCAGAAGAAGCACCGGCUAACUCCGUGCCAGCAGCCGCGGUAAUUC